GCCUGGUUAACUCAAUUGGCAGAGUGUCAGACUCUUAUCUCAUGAUAAAUUCUGAGGAUACAAGGUUAUCUGAAAGCUGCGGGUUCGACCCCCGCAUCGGGCU
rnacentral:tRNA from 1 species